rnacentral:rRNA from 1 species
GACGAACGCUGGCGGCGUGCCUAACACAUGCAAGUCGAGCGAUGAAGCCCUUCGGGGUGGAUUAGCGGCGGACGGGUGAGUAACACGUGGGUAACCUGCCUCGUAGAGGGGGAUAGCCUCCCGAAAGGGAGAUUAAUACCGCAUAACAUAUUUUAGUCGCAUGGCUAGAAUAUCAAAGGAGUAAUCCGCUAUGAGAUGGACCCGCGGCGCAUUAGCUAGUUGGUGAGGUAACGGCUCACCAAGGCGACGAUGCGUAGCCGACCUGAGAGGGUGAUCGGCCACAUUGGAACUGAGACACGGUCCAGACUCCUACGGGAGGCAGCAGUGGGGAAUAUUGCGCAAUGGAGGAAACUUUGACGCAGCAACGCCGCGUGAAUGAUGAAGGCCUUAGGGUUGUAAAGUUCUGUCUUCUGGGACGAUAAUGACGGUACCAGAGGAGGAAGCCACGGCUAACUACGUGCCAGCCGCCGCCGUAAUAC